GCUGAUAACAGGCAUUAAUUCAACUAAUAAUAAUUCCACAGAGAAGACUUUCUUAAAUAUUUUAAAGAGACAAUGGAAUGGCAAAUUGCAUAUCAUUCCUUGGUAGGUGUUACAAACAAAAACUUGAAAACGCCCAAUUUAUUUUCUUUCCAGGAUCUUGUCCAGGCAUGUUUCAUGACGAAGGGUAUUAUCCUUGCAGAGUCUUGAUAUGGUUAGGAACUGUAAGCUGUUUAAUUGAGAAGAAGAAUUUGGAAUUGCAUUGAAUUAGUCCUCCAGAAAUGGAGUUCCAGUAAUUACAGCAGUCUCACACUCUUCUCUUCAAUACUAAAUAAAGCAACCCAAACGUUCUAACACAAGAACACUCUAUCAAGAGAACUUCCAGAGGAGAGGUCUAUGGCCCUACCAAUUAUGUCAGAAAGAAAACAAUACAUUUCAUGCUCCCUUUCGUCUUCUGUUUCUUAUUUAUAAGUUUCUUCUCACAUGUCAUUCUGUUUUGCUUCAGCAGCGUAGCCGCAAUACCCUCUAACGGCUCUCCUCUUCUAGAAUCUUUUGCAUCUUUUCUUCUGGAACCUUCUUUCCUAGUCCCAGUACUUUUGGUCCGUCUUCUA
rnacentral:misc_RNA from 1 species